rnacentral:rRNA from 1 species
ACUACGGGCGGCAGCAGUGGGGAAUAUUGCGCAAUGGGCGAAAGCCUGACGCAGCGACGCCGCGUGAGGGAUGAAGGUCUUCGGAUCGUAAAACUCUGUCAGCAGGGAAGAACGGUCACUGUGCUAAUCAGCAGUGAAUUGACGGUACCUGCAAAGGAAGCACCGGCUAACUCCGUGCCAGCAGCCGCGGUAAUACGGGGGGUGCGAGCGUUAAUCGGAUUUACUGGGCGUAAAGCGCUAGUGGGAUGUAUGUCAAGUCAAGGGUGAAAUCCCCGCGCUAAACGUGGGAACUGCCUGUGAGACUGGCAAACUGGAGUGUGUGAGAGGAUAGUGGAAUUCCAGGUGUAGGAGUGAAAUCCGUAGAUAUCUGGAGGAACAUCAGUGGCGAAGGCGACUAUCUGGCACAUAACUGACGCUGAGGAGCGAAAGCGUGGGUAGCAAACAGGAUUAGAUACCCCAGUAGUC